AAUUAAAUAAACUUUUUUUUUUAUUUACAUAGAUUUAUGAAUAAAUGAUCCUAUUAUUUAGAUUAAAAGAUUAAAUUACCUUAGGGAUAACAGCGUAAUUUUUUUUAAAGUUCUUAUUGAAAAAAAAGAUUGCGAC
rnacentral:rRNA from 1 species